GUUUGGCUUUUUACAUCGGUAUGACUACAAGCAAGUUGUCAGUCAGGAUGAAAGGACAUUACCAGAGAGUGCAUACUGGCAACACUCAUUAUCCUGUUGCAGAGGAUGCAUUACAACAUGACAGUCAUGACCUUGGUGCCUGUUUCACCACACGUGCCAUCUGUAUUCUUUCCCCAGUCACCAGUUUCUCAGAAUUCUGCAGACUGUGACCCUAAUAAUAAACUGAAGAAAAACAAAACAAAUGGAUGCGUUUCCUCAAACAUUUUAGAAAAUUUGUUUGCCAAGUCAGGAUAUUGUGCUGGUGAAUUUCUAAAGAAUUUAGAGGAAAAAAUCCAUCAAAAUAUGUUGUGUAGUGCUCAACAGAGGAAAAACAAUGAAAGAAAGUGUCAUUUUAUAUUCAACAGAAACUUUCAAAACGUACAAGAUUAAAACAACAUGCUGCACCUAUGUAGACAACAAUCCAUGAGUGGAGAGCUGCUAGUAUCUUAUAUUUUUAUGAAUUUUAAGUGGUACAUUUCCACUAUAUGUGGGGGACAAGAGCCCAGCAGAACUGCUACAUGGGACACCAACUGUGGACUCUCCUCCACAUGCUGCAUCUGCCACUGCAUCCAUCAGUGUCACCGGCUCCACAACGGUUCCAGCUGGGUGCAUCAGUCUGGGCUUGUGGUUUCAGCCUCUGACUGAACUGGGUUCCUGCCAUCAUCGAGCAUCACCAGGAACAGCACCUGUAUGUUGUCCACACUUCUGACAGGUGGAUAUCCCAUCAGUUCAACGAGCUGUGACCGUACAGCUGUUCUUGAUGGACCACCGCCUUCUCUUCCCUGCAGCCUAUUCCUGUGUCAUAGACAGUCUGGUUCACCCUGAAAGUGUCUGGCAGCUCGCUCUCAGGGGUUCGUGCCCCUGCCUCAUUCCUUGACUGUUGCCGCUGGGCAGGGCUGCUCUGGUUUGUUUCUGCCACUGCACCUGCCAUCACAGCUACCGCCACCUCUGUUGCUGAGUCAUGUAUGGCGGUUGUCUCUGACACCCCUGCUGACACAUCCAUCACUGACCCCUGACUUCAACAAAGACUUCGUUAUGGAAAUGCCAUCCCCAGUCCUGCUCAACGGCCUCUCACAAGAAGGGGGACAAUGUGCCAAUCUGUCCCCUCACAACUAAUGCCCCUACUUGCUGGUGACUGCCUGCCACAUGCUGCAGCAGCCACCAUUGUCAGUGAUGAAAUGGAUGUCAGUGCCAUCAUUGACAUUUUCUGUGACUCAUAAUCUCAGUGCCUUUGAGAUCAGUGCUUAUUUUCCAUGGUACCAGUCUUUUUUAGUGCCUUGUGCUUUUUUCUGUACCACGCAUUUUUUCUGUACCAUGUGUUUCUUUAUGUA